GACGAACGCUGGCGGCGUGCUUAACACAUGCAAGUCGAACGGAAAGGCCCUGCUUUUGUGGGGUGCUCGAGUGGCGAACGGGUGAGUAACACGUGAGUAACCUGCCCUUGACUUUGGGAUAACUUCAGGAAACUGGGGCUCAUACCGGAUAGGAGCUCCUGCUGCAUGGUGGGGGUUGGAAAGUUUCGGCGGUUGGGGAUGGACUCGCGGCUUAUCAGCUUGUUGGUGGGGUAGUGGCUUACCAAGGCUUUGACGGGUAGCCGGCCUGGGAGGGUGCCCGGCCACAUUGGGACUGAGAGAGGGCCCAGACGCCAACGGGAGGCAGCAGGGGGGAAUAUUGCACAGUGGGCGGAAGCCUGAUGCAGCAACGCCGCGUGCGGGAUGACGGCCUUCGGGUUGUAAACCGCUUUCUCCUGAGACGAAGCGUGAGUGACGGUAAUGGAUAAAGAAGCACCGGCUAACUACGUG
rnacentral:rRNA from 1 species